rnacentral:rRNA from 1 species
CAGCAGCCGCGGGAAUACGAAGGGUGCAAGCGUUAAUCGGAAUUACUGGGCGUAAAGCGUGCGUAGGCGGUUUGUUAAGUCUGCUGUGAAAUCCCCGGGCUCAACCUGGGAAUGGCAGUGGAUACUGGCAAGCUAGAGUGUGUCAGAGGAUGGUGGAAUUCCCGGUGUAGCGGCGAAAUGCGUAGAGAUCGGGAGGAACAUCAGUGGCGAAGGCGGCCAUCUGGGACAACACUGACGCUGAGGCACGAAAGCGUGGGGAGCAAACAGGAUUAGAUACCCGAGUAGUCCCUGUCUCUUAUAC